AUUGAACGCUGGCGGUAGGCCUAACACAUGCAAGUCGAACGGUAACAGGAAGCAGCUUGCUGCUUCGCUGACGAGUGGCGGACGGGUGAGUAAUGUCUGGGAAGCUGCCUGAUGGAGGGGGAUAACUACUGGAAACGGUAGCUAAUACCGCAUAAUGUCGCAAGACCAAAGAGGGGGACCUUCGGGCCUCUUGCCCUCGGAUGUGCCCAGAUGGGAUUAGCUUGUUGGUGGGGUAACGGCUCACCAAGGCGACGAUCCCUAGCUGGUCUGAGAGGAUGACCAGCCACACUGGGACUGAGACACGGUCCAGACUCCUACGGGAGGCAGCAGUGGGGAAUAUUGCACAAUGGGCGCAAGCCUGAUGCAGCCAUGCCGCGUGUAUGAAGAAGGCCUUCGGGUUGUAAAGUACUUUCAGCGGGGAGGAAGGGAGUAAAGUUAAUACCUUUGCUCAUUGACGUUACCCGCAGAAGAAGCACCGGCUAACUCCGUG
rnacentral:rRNA from 1 species